AGUGAUCAAUAAUAUGCUGGGAAUUACACUGACAGUGAUAUUGUAUUCCUGAUAGCAUAGAAAGGAUUCUGCAGAGUUCUAUCAGCUCUGCUAUGUUGAUAGUAAUGACCAAGUGAGAGGAGCCAGCACCCCCCUCUGCUUUAAAACCCCAAAACACAGACUACAGCCUGGAAAACUACCUCUUGGUCAUCACAACGCAGGAACAAUACAAUCCACAAUAUCUAAAAUCCAAAGAUUGUGUUUUGAAGACCAUGCUUGAAAUACUUGUCUUUAAAAGGCAGCACUCUGUUUGGAUUGAUGAUGUUCCUCACAAGAACAUAUUAGCUAAAAUGAUCCAUAGGAAAGGUUAUGUACAUGACAUGCGUUUCUGAAUCUAGGAACAGGUAGAGUAAAGUGAGAGAGAGAAAGAAGAGCUGGUCAUGGAGAUAGAGCAACUGAAAGAGCAACAUGAGACUCUGAGAAGUGUCCUGAAGGAGCAACAGCAAGAGAUUGAUCGCCUCAAGUCUCUGACCACUAUUCCUGAGAAAAAUGAACGAGCGUUGAUCAAGAUCCAACAGCUGAAGAAGGAGCAAGAGGAGUUGAGAGGGAGGGUUGAGAUCCAAAGUGUGGAGAUUGCACAGUGAGUCAUUCUUGUCUGAAGCAAUCCAUUAAAUGCAUGGGAACAAAGCUUUCUAGUGCAUCACCUUUCCAGUCAUAUCAUGAUAUCAUCCUGUCUUGGAUUUUUUUUACACUUGUAUACCAAGGUGGUUCCUCAUGCCCCCAUGUCUGUGUAAACAGGAUGACCCCAAGGCUCAAAUCUGAGCAGGAGACCCGCAGACUGAAGGAUUACAUUCAGCUUCUACAGGAGGCUCGGACACAGUUGCACCAGGAGCAGCAGGCUUCCCACAAUACCCGCAGACGUGCAGAGAAAGCCGAGAGGGAACUGGAGGAGGUCUAUGAGCGCAUGGAGAGCAUUUCCAUGACGUCUGCUCAGACCAAGAAGAAGAGCAGCAAACUAGAGGUGCAUUUAUACAAACAAACCAAAAAGUUGUAUAUUACUCCCCUUUUUCUCCCCAAUUUUGAUCUUGUCUCAUUGCUGCAACUCUCCAACGGCCUCGGGAGAGGCGAAGGUGGAGUCACGCGUCCUCCGAAACAUGACCCGCCUAACCGCGCUCAUUAA
rnacentral:lncRNA from 8 species